rnacentral:rRNA from 1 species
UACGGAGGAUGCGAGCGUUAUCCGGAUUUAUUGGGUUUAAAGGGAGCGUAGGUGGAUUGUUAAGUCAGUUGUGAAAGUUUGCGGCUCAACCGUAAAAUUGCAGUUGAAACUGUCCAGCUGGAGUGCAGGAGAGGUAAGCGGAAUUCCUAGUGUAGCGGUGAAAUGCAUAGAUAUUAGGAGGAACACCAGUGGCGAAGGCGGCUUACUGGACUGUAACUGACACUGAGGCUCGAAAGCGUGGGGAGCAAACAGG